UUCUUCCUCCAAGGAUACGACACCGGGGUAUUGAUCCCAUAAUGAAGGUAAAACUCAACAAGUAUCUUAUUUUCAUAUUACCUUUAACCAUAAAAAUCAGACGAUAAAUAACGUAAAUAUCAGACAAUGAUAAAACAUAACUGACUAACAUAAUUUCCGGAUUUAUUUCAGAUUUUGGUAGUAUUAAACUUCUAUGCAAGGGGUAGUUAUCAAGGUGCCGUAGGCCUCAACAGCGAUGUGACUCUGAUUGCCUUAUAUUGAGUAUUGAUGCAUCAUACACAUCAUCAUACAUUGGGCAUAUGGGCCCAACAUGAGAUAAAAGCUCACAUGGAAGAACUCUCAAUACAGGGAUAGACUACAUACCUACUGGGUGACUCAGGGUAUCCUCUCCGGUCAUUCAUGAUGACUCCAGUGGACCAUGCAGUAGACGACUCACCUGAAGGGCGCUACAAUAUAAUUCAGAAACGUGCCCGUUCCACUGUAGAGUGCACAUUUGGAAUACUAAAAGGGAGAUGGAGAUGCUUAUUAGCCGCCAGAGAAUUAAAUUACACUCCUGAGACCGCUGGCAAAAUUGCAAUUGCAUGCAGUGUAUUGCACAACAUGUGCAUAGAUGCUCGGCUCGACCAUCCUGAAUUAGCAGAGGAGGACCUCGCAGCUGAGAACGCCCUGCCCAUUCCCCAGCAAGCUGCAAUUCCACAAGGACGGGCAUUGGAGGAAGGAAGAAGAGUAUGCAGAGUACUAAUACAUUUAUUAGAGGCAUAAUAUGCCCCCGGCUUUGUAUGGAUAUACUUAUAUAAGACAAAACAAUCCUUAUUGUGAGGUUGUAGAAGAGAUUACUUUUAGUAAUACGGCCACUGAUUGUACUAUUUCUUUUCUAUGUUUGUGAAACUGUUUCUGUUUGUGUGCAAUAAAGAGUAUUUUAUCUUUACCUACCUAUAUUUUUUUAAUUUUCAUUGUUUCUGGUAUGAAUGUGUUUCUAUUAUAUCCAUAAAAAUAUGGUUUUACCGAUCCUAAGAUACUUACUUUGUGUGGAUACAUCUAUUCAUGCUA